UUAAAAUUCUGUUUGGUCUGGAGCACAACCCUCUGACAGGCGUUUUCUUCAUGGGAUACCCUGGGGGGACCGGGGGGAUGGGAGUUUAAAAGAUUGCGCAAUUAUGAUACGUUGCGGGUUUGUAAGCGGAGUAUAAGGCAGGUGACACGACUGAUUAAACAGUUCGCGUUUUAGUUUUUACUAACGCCUGUUUUGUUCUUUUUGAGGAUGAAGGUUUAAUCAGAGAAAUGUGUAUUGCGUAAAUCAACAAAACUCAAAAAGUGCCUUCUUUAUUUUAUUGCCGAGGAGCGAGUAUUGAACCGACAGGAGGUCUGAAGUUUCUUCGGGUCUGCUGACAAACAGAAGUUGAAGCUCACACUUUUACUGAGGUCUCAAGUGUGUCUUUUGAAAGACUGAAAGAUGGCGAAACACGUCCUGGAGAUCUGGGCCAUCAUCCUGGUCAUUCUGGCAACCAUCAUCAUAAUGACGUCUCUCUUGGUUUGCCCAGCAUUGUCUGUCAUAAUCUACAGGGUACGGACUGGCCAAACCAGGAAUGAGAUUGUGUGACACACCACAGCGUGAGGACUGCUUCACUAAAGAAGGGGAGGGGGAGUUGGGUGAUCCGCUAAAUCUAGAAGGAUUCCCAAUCAACACAUUGUGAAUUGGGUCUAUGGUUAAUCCAAGGCAUUGAAUCUAGCCUAGUCGUUUAUUUGAUUUUGUUAUAUUCCCAGUGUGUAUAAGUUGCUGUCCUGGACUGAGAUGUGAUAUUACACAAUGCAAGGACCAAUUCAACCUGGACCCAGACUUGAACAGAACAUGCGUUGCACUUCCUUGCCUAAUUUACAGUACCAUAUACAGGGAAGCGAUUGAUCCAGACCCAGGGGACAGUAUUGAACAGAAUAAGAAUAAAGUAUUGAAUGACAGACCCACUGACAAAAAUAAACAAAGCUGAAGGACUCAUAAAUCAUAACCCAUAAAGCUGUGAAUUAAUAUGAAAUGUCUAUUUCACGACAGAAUCUCAUUUGCAAUAAGCAGCAGUUGCUGCCCCACAUAUUCUGUACAGUCCAGUCUUUGCCCAGGUCAAGCCCACUAACAUGUAUUAAGCUGACAGUGUAAGCGAGGAAGCUUUUUUUGUUCUUUUGGAUUGAUAAAAGAUAUUAAGCUCUGUCUCAAUGUUCAGGCAUUGCUCAUUACAUCCCAGUUGCACCUGGCAUUACCUGCAAAAUUGAAUUAGGAAUUAAUGUGGUGAUUUUGGCUGUAAUUAUCCCCAUUACAAUGCAUAAUAAUUCCUCUGGCUUCAUAAUAAAGGGCUAAAAAGUUGAUGUCAUAA